GUGUCAGCAGCCGCGGUAAUACGUAGGAGGCGAGCGUUGUCCGGAUUUACUGGGCGUAAAGGGCGCGUAGGCGGCCGCUUGAGUCCCUGCGUGAAAUCUCCCGGCUCAACCGGGAGGGUGCGCGGGAUACUGGGCGGCUGGAGGGCAUCAGAGGGAAGCGGAACCCCCGGUGUAGUGGUGAAAUGCGUAGAUAUCGGGGAGAACACCAGUGGCGAAGGCGGCUUCCUGGGGUGUACCUGACGCUGAGGCGCGAAAGCGUGGGGAGCGAACCGGAUUAGAUACCCUCGUAGUCC
rnacentral:rRNA from 1 species